rnacentral:rRNA from 1 species
GACGAACGCUGGCGGCGUGCCUAAUACAUGCAAGUCGAACGCUGAAGAGAGGAGCUUGCUCUUCUUGGAUGAGUUGCGAACGGGUGAGUAACGCGUAGGUAACCUGCCUUGUAGCGGGGGAUAACUAUUGGAAACGAUAGCUAAUACCGCAUAACAAUGGAUGACACAUGUCAUUUAUUUGAAAGGGGCAAUUGCUCCACUACAAGAUGGACCUGCGUUGUAUUAGCUAGUAGGUGAGGUAAUGGCUCACCUAGGCGACGAUACAUAGCCGACCUGAGAGGGUGAUCGGCCACACUGGGACGGAGACACGGCCCAGACUCCUACGGGAGGCAGCAGUAGGGAAUCUUCGGCAAUGGGGGCAACCCUGACCGAGCAACGCCGCGUGAGUGAAGAAGGUUUUCGGAUCGUAAAGCUCUGUUGUAAGUCAAGAACGGGUGUGAGAGUGGAAAGUUCACACUGUGACGGUAGCUUACCAGAAAGGGACGGCUAACUACGUG